CCUACGGGUGGCAGCAGUGAGGAAUAUUGGUCAAUGUACGCAAGUCUGAACCAGCCAUGCCGCGUGCAGGAAGACGGCUCUAUGAGUUGUCAACUGCUUUUGUACGAGGCUAAAUCCCGAUCCGUGUAUCGGGUUGAAAGUAUCGUACGAAUAAGUAUCGGCUAACUCCGUGCCAGCAGCAGCGGUAAUCCGGAGGAUUCAAGCGUUAUCCUGAUUGAUUGGGUGUACAGGGUGCGUAGGCGGUUCGAUACGUUAGUGGUGAAAUCCCGGGGCUCAACUCCGGCACUGCCUCUGAUACUGGCGGGCUAGAGUUUAGUUGCGGUAGGCGGAAUGUAAGGUGUAGCGGUGAAAUGCAUAGAGAUCAUACAGAACACCGAUUGCGAAGGCAGCUUACCAAACUACGACUGACGUUGAGGCACGAAAGCGUGGGGAGCAAACAGGAUUAGAUACCCGUGUAGUC
rnacentral:rRNA from 1 species